CCUCUCUCCACGUCCACGGCGCCGAGUCUCGCCACGGUGGCGCAGGCGCCAGGGAGGUUCCCCGGCUUUGCCGCGCGGAGGAAGUCCCGGUUACGCAGAGCGCGCUGGGGCAGGGCUGACCUUCCCCUUUCUCUACUUCACUGGCCUCCUCCAGACGUGGUGGUUGCGCCCUUUCGGCCUCGCUUUCCGUUUUUUGGCUUCAUCCCCUAGAUCUGCAAACAGUUCCUCGUGUUUCUUCCGUUAGCCGGGAAACGCGAACUGCAGCGUUUGGGACCCGGGUUUGCGCGUGUGGAAAGCAAAAGGGGUUACUCUGCUGGAGUUCGACAUUGCAAAUAAAGGGUUGAGUUUGUGCAUCGAUUGUGAACACAACAGGCAGCAGGCUAUAAUGGUGGUCCUGGCUGGAGUAGUUUUCACAGACUUCAGUAAUCUGUGGAGAUGAACGGGCAGUUCUCUGUAGUUUUCACAGAUCACUGCCAGUUCGUUUUGAGGCCUUCAGGAGUGAAGACCUGGCUCAUCAUCACUCUUUGUUGUUUUGUUAAAUUUAUUUACACCCUACUUUAUUCCAGAGGAAAGGAUUUAACGUAGUUUACAUAAAUGUGUACAUCAGGGUAAAUUAAAAAUAAGUACAGAGAAAAAUAGGACAAAAGAAAACCGUGAGUGUGAAAGAUAAGAUUAAGCCAGCAGUUUUGUAUGCAAAAUGCAUGGUGUAAGGUCCUAUUGGUUUGCUGGAGGUAGGCCACACAUAUGACUCUCAGUUUUCUAGCAACCAAGAAAAAGAUCAGUUGCAAUCGGAGUAGGUGUUUUGGCUAAGCUGGAACUAGGACUUGAAUAUAGCAGCUUGUAGAGUUAUACCACUUGCCCAAAUCUCUUCCAUGAGCCUCUUUAAGUGUAACAGAAUGCCUGGGAGCACGUAAAUGCUCCUACUUAGAUGCCUACUUAGCCUCUAAUUUUCAUGGGGCCCAUGAAUCCCAUGAAAAAGAACUUUGAACCCUGUCCACAAUUAGAGUUCAGGUAUACGCAGACAUGUUUAAAGACAAGGGACACCCAAAGGAAAGAUUGCACAGAGAGAAAGUGAGCAUCCGAGAGAAAAUCACCACAAGUGAGGCAGAGGGAGGCCGGUCUCAGCAGAGUUUUGGAGGUCGUGAGAAGAAGAGGUAGGAGAUAGGAGAGUGGUUCCGAGUACUUGCCUGCUGAUGUUACCUUCUCCACCCCCACCAGGUUUUCCAGUGCCUGGAGUCUUGGGCAGGAAUGGGCCACUGUAAGAAAGAGCUUUAUCACUAGGGCCUCAGCCAACUUUUCUGUGGGAUAUCCCUCCAAAAUAAUUAAGAGUUCAGAAUGCUUCAGAUUUUGAAGUGAAACUGGUACAUAUAUUAAGUGUUACUUAAUAACCCGAUAGUUUCUAGGGCAGCUCACCAUAAUCCCAAGUAUUAGCCACCACCCUCACCCCCUUCAGAGUAAAAUGUGUUUCCUGAAGGAAGUUGGGAAAAUGAAGAAAAAAAAUACAAAAAUCACCUAUAAUCUUACCAGUCAUAGAUGGCAGUUUUCCUGUCUUAUUUCUGAAUAAUGGUUGUUAAACAUUUGCCAGCACACCAUAAGGCUUAGGGAGGCAUCUGGGUCAUGCAUGUUAAUAUCCUUGGGUAAUUCCAGAAAUCUCUAUGAAGGGAAACUCCUGUUAUUUAUCUAGACUUCCUGAUUGCAAGGGGUUUGGGCAUCAUGAUUUAGGGGUCUUAAUAAAAUUAUUAUUUUAUUUUUACUAAUAGAUAAUGUCUGUGCCUAUCAGAUAAAGGCAAACCAGUGCUCAGAGGAACCCAACCAUCUCUGAAUUGAGACCAGAGAGCUGUCUCUAUGGAUAGUCCUUAGAGAAGGCAUUUCGGAACACAGUAAACAGCAGCCUGGUGACUCCGAUUACAGGGCCAGUUGCCUUUGUUACAAUAAAAGCAAGUCAUCUACACAGAUUUUUCCUACCAGGAAGAGCAUGUGCUGACCAACAGACAUGAAUUUCAGCCUGGUAGUUACAACAUUCACAGUAUACCCACAUCACUAAGCUGGGAGGCACAUUUUGAGACCCAGAAUCCUGACACCUCCAUGCCUUCAAAAGGAUGAGCAGAUUCAUGUAUGACCAGAAUGUAAACCAGGAUCACAGAGCAGCCGGAGAGGUGGUGACAGAACCAUCGAUGGAACCCUGGGCUCCAGGUUCUGACUCCUAUUUUCACUCACUAAUUUUUUUUUUUUGAGAUGGAGUCUUGCUCUGUCGCCAGGCUGGAGUAGAGUGGCAC
rnacentral:lncRNA from 1 species